GAUGAACGCUGGCGGCGUGCCUAAUACAUGCAAGUCGAGCGAACGGACGAGAAGCUUGCUUCUCUGAUGUUAGCGGCGGACGGGUGAGUAACACGUGGAUAACCUACCUAUAAGACUGGGAUAACUUCGGGAAACCGGAGCUAAUACCGGAUGAUAUUUUGAACCGCAUGGUUCAAAAGUGAAAGACGGUCUUGCUGUCACUUAUAGAUGGAUCCGCGCUGCAUUAGCUAGUUGGUAAGGUAAUGGCUUACCAAGGCAACGAUGCAUAGCCGACCUGAGAGGGUGAUCGGCGACACUGGAACUGAGACACGGUCCAGACUCCUACGGGAGGCAGCAGUAGGGAAUCUUCCGCAAUGGGCGAAAGCCUGACGGAGCAACGCCGCGUGAGUGAUGAAGGUCUUCGGAUCGUAAAACUCUGUUAUUAGGGAAGAACAUAUGUGUAAGUAACUGUGCACAUCUUGACGGUACCUAAUCAGAAAGCCACGGCUAACUACGUG
rnacentral:rRNA from 1 species